rnacentral:rRNA from 1 species
CCUCAGCGUCAGUUACAGACNGAGAGUCGCCUUCGCCACUGGUGUUCCUCCACAUCUCUACGCAUUUCACCGCUACACGUGGAAUUCCACUCUCCUCUUCUGCACUCAAGUUCCCCAGUUUCCAAUGACCCUCCCCGGUUGAGCCGGGGGCUUUCACAUCAGACUUAAGAAACCGCCUGCGAGCCCUUUACGCCCAAUAAUUCCGGACAACGCUUGCCACCUACGUAUUACCGCGGCUGCUGGCACGUAGUUAGCCGUGGCUUUCUGGUUAGGUACCGUCAAGGUACCGCCCUAUUCGAACGGUACUUGUUCUUCCCUAACAACAGAGCUUUACGAUCCGAAAACCUUCAUCACUCACGCGGCGUUGCUCCGUCAGACUUUCGUCCAUUGCGGAAGAUUCCCUACUGCUGCCUCCCGUAGGAGUCUGGGCCGUGUCUCAGUCCCAGUGUGGCCGAUCACCCUCUCAGGUCGGCUACGCAUCGUUGCCUUGGUGAGCCGUUACCUCACCAACUAGCUAAUGCGCCGCGGGUCCAUCUGUAAGUGGUAGCCGAAGCCACCUUUUAUGUUUGAACCAUGCGGUUCAAACAACCAUCCGGUAUUAGCCCCGGUUUCCCGGAGUUAUCCCAGUCUUACAGGCAGGUUACCCACGUGUUACUCACCCGUCCGCCGCUAACAUCAGGGAGCAAGCUCCCAUCUGUCCGCUCGACUGCAUGUAUUAGCACGCCGCCAGCGUUCGUCCUG